AUUUUUACCUGUCAGGGGAGGUACCAUGAUCACGAAGGUGGUUUUCUCAGGGUGAGGCUUAUUCAUUGCAUUCUGGAUGUGCUGACUUCUAUGAUUUCCCCAAAUGUGGGAAACUGAACUGCAUAAUUUGUGGUACUAGGGGACUGUGUUCACGCUUUCCCCUG
rnacentral:snRNA from 1 species